UACGUAGGGUGCAAGCGUUUAAUCGGAAUUACUGGGCGUAAAGCGUGCGCAGGCGGUUGUGCAAGACAGAUGUGAAAUCCCCGGGCUUAACCUGGGAACUGCAUUUGUGACUGCAUCGCUGGAGUGCGGCAGAGGGGGAUGGAAUUCCGCGUGUAGCAGUGAAAUGCGUAGAUAUGCGGAGGAACACCGAUGGCGAAGGCAAUCCCCUGGGCCUGCACUGACGCUCAUGCACGAAAGCGUGGGGAGCAAACAGG
rnacentral:rRNA from 1 species